rnacentral:lncRNA from 1 species
UAGAUGGCUUUUGGCUCAAGCCCUAAUAAAACUAUGAAGAGUUUAUAAAAUUCUUCUAUUUAUCUACAUCCAGGUUUGAAGAACAAAAGUCACUCAAAAAUCAGYGCAGGGGAAAUCCAGCCUUUUGUUUUGGACUAUCUCCACCUUUCUGUGGCCUCUUUUGAUUACAUUUAUAUUCUACAGCAACCUCAUGGAUGUUGAUCUUUAAAGGCCUUUUCAGAGAAAAAGUGAUAAAAAGAAACCUUCAGAGUUGGAGAAUUGGGCUGGAUGUGCUAAGAAGACCCAUCCGCUCCCAGGCAAAUCUUCAUGGCACAGCAGGAUUUGCUGGUAGUGUUUGGAUACAGAUCAGGAAUCAGCCCUCAAAGUUGGUAUGGAACUAACUGAGGAAAAGUGGAGUGAGAAGGCAGAGUGGGGUAUUGAAUCUUGGGAGAUGACAACUCCAGGAGCAAGAAUAUUAUCUUCUUAGCAUGGCUGCAUCUCCAGCAUAUUGAGAAAACCCAGCUGAGCACAUCUAAGCCAGAAGAAUAAAAGGUAUCAAUGAAACCCC